AGGUGGCGUAAAUUACCUUUAAUUUUGUUACAAUAGUAAGAAUUAGAAGAAGGGGUGCCGUUUAGCCAGUCGUAAUCGGGAGCAUUAAAAUCUCCUAACAUGACAACCCGAUAGAAAUGCGAGUUUAGAUUUACUUCUAAAGAGUUUAAAUAAUUUUCAAUUACUUUUGUAUCGCAAUCCGGGGCAAAGUUAUGAUUCCACGUAAGCAGACUAUGGUUUCAACCCCCACAUACUCUUCAAUCGUUUCCAGAUCAUGCCUUCGUUUAACGACGCACAACGACUUUGAGAAUGCAGUCACGAAACACGUAAUAAAGUUCAGGAAAAAUAUUUUAACUUAAUAUAGAGUCAUUAAGCCAGGUUUCCGUAAUGCAGUAAAUUCCGGACGUGAUAGCGAAAACAUUGUCAAUGAAGUGACUGCAUUUGGUUCUUAGACCCCUGACAUUUUGAUGAAAUAUAUCAAAAUCGCCGUAGUCGAGAGCCAUAAUCAGUGGGAAUCGGAGCCGCCUCCAGGCACAGGAGCCCCACAGCCUGACUCUGUUGACCUGACAGGCGUGCUCGAGGAGUAGAAAGGAGCAAUAAUGCAACCAUUUGGCCACACUCCAGUAUUAAUGAGUGGAAAGUCAUCUUCAUUGGCCGAAACGUGAAAAGAGUAAUAACUGCUAAAUUUUGUUUUAAGCCUGGUGCACACCAAAUUCUUAAGGCGUAAUUGCUCCUUUAAUGAGGUUUCAAUAUCUAAAGUCGUGAUCUCAGGACUAAACAGACACAAAUUCAUAAUUUUCACUAAGGCAGUUCAAAGAAAGAGAUAUCUAAUUUAGGCCGAAACUUAUUUUUCAAGAUAUUUCUACUGUUACGAAAGCACAUUCAUCUCACAAAGCUGUUAAUAAUAAAUGUUUCAUAAGAUUCAUUAAAAAUAUCACAAAUAACAAUAAACUGAAACUAUUUUGUGUAUUUAUGGCUUGAAAAUAAUGCUUUCAAUAACACAUAGUUUCUAGUGUCAAAUGUUGAGGAUGGUUAAUGAAUAUUUCAUUUGGAAGUAUAUGAACAGAAGCAGUAGUGACGUAAUUAAGGAACUAACCUGGCAUUUUGCUGCUAGGACUGAGGACAACCACAAGAAACACGUGUGGAUAGCCAGUCUGAGGGCUAAAAUUUGAAAAGACAAACUCUCAAAUAUGUAGCAGAAAUUCCAACCACUCACCCAUUGUAUUUAGUAUAUAACAUUUCCGAAGCAAGACUUCGCUAAAACGGGAAUUCAAUUAAGUUCAGCUAAAUAUCUGCUGGAGUAAAGAGAAGUUCGAUCUCACAGAAGUUGACAUAAGAUAUUUAAAGAUUUCUUCCUCUCUGUCUGCACCUGCAUGUCGGAUACUUAAUUCGCAGUUCUUCUGUGUUCGUGUGAAUUGAAUUGUCUUGUACAUUAACUAACACGUCUCAAAUUUGUAGAAAGCAAGACGUCACGAGUUCACGUCCAACAUCACGACACCAGAAAAUCAAGAUAUUCAUAAGGAAGUGCUGCUUUCUAUUCCUGAAGAAGGCACUUCAAACUACACAUUCCCUAACUUGAGUUUUCAACAGUGGGUCAGUCUCGACCAGAAAACGGAAGACAUUCUUAGUAGAAUCGAGAAGAAUGCAGAAACGACUUCUCCAAGUGAAACAGGUUUCCUGAACCAAGUGCCAAAGGUUGUGGCUGAAGAAGAACUCGGCUCCCUUGAGAAUGUGACUGGCCUGGACGACAUGGACAUUUCUCUAAUAAGUGACCUAAUCUUAGACACACCCGAGAAAACCACGCAUGAAAGUAAACUCAGCAUGCUUCACUUUUUACUGACGAACUAGACUUCCAUCACAAUUGGAAAGUGAGAAAGUGAGCAGAAAGUUCUUAAGGGCUAGAGCGCACGAGCGGUUUUUCUGCAGCAGCGGUAAAACUACCGCAAACGCAUAUUCUAGUUGCCUGUGCACACGGACGGUGAAAUAAACGCAUUUUCUUUUCAGUUAAGAGCUGUCUUUUAUGGACACAGUUGGCGUGUGCUCUAGGCUGAUAAGUCGAGGCAUGGAUCUUUUUGAGACUAGCUGUGCGCGCUUUUUACUAAGAGCAAAGUCAAAGCGUAGAAAUAAAUUUUGGUUCCCUCCACUUGUAAGUCAAAGAUUGUUGAAAGCCGAAUUUCAUAAGCUGUAUGAAGACCUCCGUAUGUAUCCAAAGAUAUAAUUCAGAUACUUCCUUUUUUUGUCAAGUUAUGAAGGAACGAGAAAAACGUGGCAUUCAUUAAUUCUUUCUAGACCACCAAGAUGGCGAAAAUUGUAUUGUGCUGGACUGAAAACUAUUUUGUAGUUAGUGUGCUUAAGCUAAAAAAUUCAAUUUGCAAAUAAGACU